rnacentral:rRNA from 1 species
CUACGGGAUGCUGCAGUGGGGAAUAUUGGACAAUGGGGGAAACCCUGAUCCAGCAAUGCCGCGUGUGUGAAGAAGGCCUGCGGGUUGUAAAGCACUUUCGGUUGGGAGGACUGCUUCUAGCACUAAUAUUGUUGGAAGUUGACGUUACCUUCAGAAGAAGCACCGGCUAACUCCGUGCCAGCAGCCGUGGUAAUACGGAGGGUGCAAGCGUUAAUCGGAAUUACUGGGCGUAAAGCGCGCGUAGGCGGCUAGAUCAGUCGGGUGUGAAAGCCCCGGGCUUAACCUGGGAACUGCAUCCGAUACUGUCUAGCUUGAGUACAGGAGAGGAGAGUGGAAUUCCACAUGUAGCGGUGAAAUGCGUAGAUAUGUGGAGGAACACCAAUGGCGAAGGCAGCUCUCUGGCCUGAUACUGACGCCGAGGUGCGAAAGCGUGGGGAGCAAACAGGAUUAGAUACCCUAGUAGUC